GACGAACGCUGGCGGCGUGCCUAAUACAUGCAAGUUGAGCGCUGAAGGCUGGUACUUGUACCAACUGGAUGAGCAGCGAACGGGUGAGUAACGCGUGGGGAAUCUGCCUUUGAGCGGGGGACAACCUUUGGAAACGAAUGCUAAUACCGCAUAAAAUCUUGAAACACAAGUUUUAAGUUUGAAAGAUGCAAUUGCAUCACUCAAAGAUGAUCCCUCGUUGUAUUAGCUAGUUGGUGAGGUAAAGGCUCACCAAGGCGAUGAUACAUAGCCGACCUGAGAGGGUGGUCGGCCACAUUGGGACGGUGACACGGCCCAAACUCCCACAGGAAGCAGCAGUAGGGCAUCGUCGGGCAUGGGCGAAAGUCUGACCGAGCAACGCCGCGGGAGUGAAGAAGGUUUUCGGGUCGUAAAACUCUGUUGGUAGAGAAGAACCUGCGUUAGAGUGGAAAGCACAGCAAGUGACGGUAACUACUCAGAAAGGGACGGCUAACUACGUG
rnacentral:rRNA from 1 species